UGUUGCCCGGAAGACACUCGGAAACUGAAACAACUAAACUGGAGCAGCUGGGAAGACGGAGAGCCAGAGCGGAAGUCAUGGGUCCCGGGUUCGGUUAGGAGAAGCCAGGGACGCGCCGGUUCUCAGAAAGCCAAUCGACUGCGCCGCAGAAACAUCGCUUGUAAAGAAGACAAGGCUGAAAAAGUCAUCUAGUUCACAGUGACUUCUGAAGACAUUCAGCAUAUGGCAAGCCCUGGUGGAAGGACCCAGGUUGACAGCAUGAUCACUGGUGAAUAGAAAGACGCCCCAAUCCCAGAGAUAAUGUUACGUCAUGUUUGGGGAUUUCCAGUGUUCGCUUCCAACAUCCGAGCGGGUCAUCUUGUCAAAUACCCUCACCUCAAGAGACAAGCAGAGAACAAAUAUGAAGAAAAUCCUCGACUACAGAAACCCCCGCUAUUUACCCUUUAGUGCCAGUUAUCUAUGGCUAUGCAAUAAGCCACCCCAAAACUCAUCAUUCUUCAUGACUCUGUGGGUGGGCACCUGUGCGGUGGCUCUCACUGGGGUCACACACAGCCACGUGCAGCUGGCGGACCAGCUGAUGGUGCUCAGCAAUCAAGAUGAUAGACACAGCUCUUCCGCACAUUGAGGUUUGGAUUUUCCACAGCGUGGUGAAGUCUAAGACAGCAAAAGCAGCUGCUUUAAAGCCUGUAGUUCCCCAGCCUCAGAAGCUGGGCAAUGUUGCUUCUGCUGUAUCCUAUAUUACUAUUUUUUUGUUCCUGUGACCAAAUAGUGACCAGAAGCCAUAUUCUCCCCUACAUCCCUCCCCACCCUGCUGGCUUCUUCCUUCCCCGAG